rnacentral:rRNA from 1 species
AUUGAACGCUGGCGGCAGGCCUAACACAUGCAAGUCGAGCGAGAGGCGGACGGGUGAGUGAUGUCUGGGAAGCUGCCUGAUGGAGGGGGGGAACUACUGGAAACGGUAGCUAUUACCCCAUACCAUCACAUGUGACCAGAUGGGAUUAGCUAGUGGGUGGGGUAACGGCUCACCUAGGCGACGAUCCCUAGCUGGUCUGAGAGGAUGACCAGCCACACUGGAACUGAGACACGGUCCAGACUCCUACGGGAGGCAGCAGUGGGGAAUAUUGCACAAUGGGCGCAAGCCGGAUGCAGCCAUGCCGCGUGUGUGAAGAAGGCCUUCGGGUUGUAAAGCACUUUCAGCGGGGAGGCGUUACCCGCAGAAGAAGCACCGGCUAACUCCGUGCCAGCAGCCGCGGUAAUAC